rnacentral:RNase_P_RNA from 1 species
GGAGAGGGACGGGUGGUCGCGGGCGCACACACGUGUGUGUUCUGAGGAAAGUCCGGACUCCGAGGGCAGGGUGCCGGGUAACACCCGGAGGGAGCGAUCCCUGGAAAGGGCCAUAGAGAAGAAGACCGCCUGAGAGGGCAAGGGUGGAACGGUGGGGUAAGAGCCCACCAGGAUCGGGGUAACCCGAUCGCUUGGCAACCCCCACCCGGAGCAAGGCCGAGCAGGGGAGGGUGGCCCGCCCGAAUCCCCGGGUAGGCCGCACAGAUUGAUGACCACCCACGACAGAAUCCGGCUUACAGUCCCUCUCCUUUU